rnacentral:rRNA from 1 species
AUACGUAGGGGGCGAGCGUUGUCCGGAAUGAUUGGGCGUAAAGGGCGCGUAGGCGGCGCGGUAAGUCUGGAGUGAAAGUCCUGCUUUCAAGGUGGGAAUUGCUUUGGAUACUGCCGCGCUUGAGUGCAGGAGAGGUUAUCGGAAUUCCCGGUGUAGCGGUGAAAUGCGUAGAGAUCGGGAGGAGCACCAGUGGCGAAGGCGGGUAACUGGACUGCAACUGACGCUGAGGCGCGAAAGUGUGGGGAGCAAACAGGAGUAGAUACCCUGGUAGUCCACACUGUAAACGAUGAAUGCUAGGUGUAAGAGGUAUCGACCCCUUUUGUGCCGGAGUCAACACAAUAAGCAUUCCGCCUGGGGAGUACGGCCGCAAGGUUGAAACUCAAAUGAAUUGACGGGG